rnacentral:lncRNA from 1 species
CAGUGCCCUGAAAUGAGAGGACUGAACUUUAUCCAGCUCUAAAUAGAAGGACAGCAGGGGGAGUGUCUGCCCUUUUCCUGCCAAAGCCCUCUAAGACUAAAUGGAAAUAACUUGCUGCAAGCAGUGAGUUAAAUGCAAUUCAUAUUUAAUCACACAGAUUAAUCUGAGAUGCAUAAAGCCAACACUGAGUCAUCACAUCGACAUGUCAUCAUAACACUGGUCUUCUGCAGUGUUGCUUCUCCUACAUCCAGCCUGUGGUUCUCUUUUUCCUUUUUUCCAUCACCAGCAAUGAAAAGGAAGGAAAGUAAAGAAAAGAGAAGACAUCAGAGAAGUGGAAAGGUUUCCUUAGAAGGUUUGAGUGUACACAGCCACUGCAAGAGAAAAUGCAGUAACUUGAGUGUCAUUUGA